GUGAGGAAUUUUCCGCAAUGGGCGAAAGCCUGACGGAGCAAUGCCGCGUGAAGGAUGAAGGCCUAUGGGUUGUAAACUUCUUUUCUCAGAAAAGAAUUAUGACGGUAUCUGAGGAAUAAGCAUCGGCUAACUCUGUGCCAGCAGCCGCGGUAAGACAGAGGAUGCAAGCGUUAUCCGGAAUGAUUGGGCGUAAAGCGUCUGUAGGUUGUUUAAAAAGUAUUCUGUCAAAGAUUAGGGCUUAACCCUAGAUAGGCAGAAUAAACUUUUAAGCUAGAGUGUGGGAGAGGCAGAGGGAAUUCCCGGUGGAGCGGUGAAAUGCGUGGAGAUCGGGAGGAACACCAAAGGCGAAGGCACUCUGCUGGGCCAAUACUAACACUGAGAGACGAAAGCGAGGGGAGCAAAUGGGAUUAGAUACCCCAGUAGUCC
rnacentral:rRNA from 1 species